rnacentral:rRNA from 1 species
GACGAACGCUGGCGGCGUGCCUAAUACAUGCAAGUCGAACGCAGUGGGGACGGGUGAGUAACACGUGGGUAACCUCCCAUCAGAGGGGAUAACACUUGGAAACAGGUGCUAAACCGAUACUGAUGGAUGGACCCGCGGUGCAUUAGCUAGUUGGGGAGGUAACGGCUCACCAAGGCCACGAUGCCUAGCCGACCUGAGAGGAUGACCGGCCACACUGGGACUGAGACACGGCCCAGACUCCUACGGGAGGCAGCAGUGGGGAAUAUUCGGCAAUGGACGAAAGCCUGACGGAGCAACGCCGCGUGAGUGAAGAAGGCCUUCGGAUCGUAAAGCUCUGUUGUCAGAGAAGCGGUAUCUAACCAGAAAGCAACGGCUAACUACGUGCCAGCAGCCGCGGUAAUUC